GGUUUAGGGUUAGGUUAGGUUAGGGGUAGGUUGGGUUAGGGGUAGAGGUACCCUAACCCUACUCCCAACCCUAACCCUAACCCUACCCCUAACCUAACCCU